rnacentral:rRNA from 1 species
AUACGGAGGAUCCGAGCGUUAUCCGGAUUUAUUGGGCUUAAAGGGAGCGUAGGUGGAUUGUUAAGUCAGUUGUGAAAGUUUGCGGCUCAACCGUAAAAUUGCAGUUGAAACUGGCAGUCUUGAGUACAGUAGAGGUGGGCGGAAUUCGUGGUGUAGCGGUGAAAUGCUUAGAUAUCACGAAGAAAUCCGAUUGCGAAGGCAGCUCACUAGACUGUUACUGACACUGAUGCUCGAAAGUGUGGGUAUCAAACAGGAUUAGAUACCCUGGUAGUCCACACAGUAAACGAUGAAUACUCGCUGUUUGCGAUAUACAGUAAGCGGCCAAGCGAAAGCAUUAAGUAUUCCACCUGGGGAGUACGCCGGCAACGGUGAAACUCAAAUGAAUUGACGGGG